GUGAGGAAUAUUGGUCAAUGGGCGCAAGCCUGAACCAGCCAUCCCGCGUGCAGGAAGACGGCCCUAUGGGUUGUAAACUGCUUUUCCGGGGGGAGAAUUUUUCCGUCGUGACGGGAAUUGACGGUACCCCGGGAAUAAGCAUCGGCUAACUCCGUGCCAGCAGCCGCGGUAAUACGGAGGAUGCGAGCGUUAUCCGGAUUUAUUGGGUUUAAAGGGUGCGUAGGCGGAAUGAUAAGUCAGUGGUGAAAACCUGCAGCUUAACUGUAGACUUGCCGUUGAUACUGUCAGUCUUGAGUGUGGUCAAGGUAGGCGGAAUGUGUAAUGUAGCGGUGAAAUGCUUAGAUAUUACACAGAACACCGAUUGCGAAGGCAGCUUACUGGGCCAUUACUGACGCUGAUGCACGAAAGCGUGGGGAUCGAACAGGAUUAGAAACCCCUGUAGUCC
rnacentral:rRNA from 1 species